AGGGUUAGGGUUACAUGAUAACAGCUUUCUGAACCUAUUAGUAGGUGUAGCAGGCCCCUUCUAACCCAUAUCUAUGAGGCUGAUAACCACUGAUAACGCCCAUUCAAUGGAGUGUUAACUUUCGAAACGGGU